GUGAACGCUGGCGGUUGGCCUAACACAUGCAGGUCGAACGGCAGCACAGUAAGAGCUUGCUCUUACGGGUGGCGAGUGGCGGACGGGUGAGGAAUACAUCGGAAUCUACUUUUUCGUGGGGGAUAACGUAGGGAAACUUACGCUAAUACCGCAUACGACCUACGGGUGAAAGCAGGGGAUCUUCGGACCUUGCGCGAUUGAAUGAGCCGAUGUCGGAUUAGCUAGUUGGCGGGGUAAAGGCCCACCAAGGCGACGAUCCGUAGCUGGUCUGAGAGGAUGAUCAGCCACACUGGAACUGAGACACGGUCCAGACUCCUACGGGAGGCAGCAGUGGGGAAUAUUGGACAAUGGGCGCAAGCCUGAUCCAGCCAUACCGCGUGGGUGAAGAAGGCCUUCGGGUUGUAAAGCCCUUUUGUUGGGAAAGAAAAGCAGCAGGUUAAUACCCCGCUGUUCUGACGGUACCCAAAGAAUAAGCGCCGGCUAACUUCGUG
rnacentral:rRNA from 1 species